rnacentral:lncRNA from 1 species
CCUUAUUUCAUAAUUGGAAUUAAUGACUUUUCCUGGAAGAAAAUCAGGCAGUGAGCAAUGAUUAUCUUAGUCCUUGGUUAGGACUCCUGCACAUUCUGAUAAUGGAUCUGACCUUCUAUCCAAGCAAGUUCAUGCUCCCUCUGGAUACUGAAGGAGACGUUUUGAGCACAUUAGAAGGCUACUAGGAAGAAGCUGAUGGUGAUUACAUCUGAUGUAAAGAAAAUAACGAGGCCUUUAGCUUGCUGCCUGCAGCCCUGUACUAGUUUGCCAUACUGUAUUGCUCUGGACUCCAUAUUCUGGAGCUGUUCAACCCACAUCCAGAUUUUAUUUCCACCAACUUCCUUUCAUGGUGUUUGUGUAGGGGUGUCAGGAUGAUGGAUAACUUGGAACUGAUUUGGAAGCUAUUUUUUUUGAUUGAGCCUUAAAUCAGGACUGUUAGUGCAGCCCAGCUUCCCUGUGUGAUGGUAACAAACAUCCUUGGUGGGCACGGGUUCAGGUCCUAAGAUUUUGCUGCUGUUGGAGAAAGGUCUCUUCAGCAAACACUGUUCAAUGCUUCAGCUGGUAGAAUUCAGCUGAAUUUUGCAACAGCACUUAAGUGAAUCCUGAUGUUCUGUUGGACUUACCUCUGGCACAUUUUCCAUUUUGCAAACCUAGAGGAUAAAAACACCAUUGACAGAGAACAAGCCUUGGCAUGGGUUGUGCAGAGUAAAAGGGAGAAGAUUGGACAGCAGUAUCACCACUUGCUGUUCUUUGGAAUUACGACCGUGAGCUCUGGGGACUGACACGUACCUGAUACACAGAAGGGAAGGCUGUGCAUAUCAGCAUCAGCCUGCUUCCACCUCAUUAUUCCCUCAGAAUGGGUGUUUCCAUCCAAGUGAUUAUUUGAGAGCUUUUGACUGAAAUGUGGGCACACAGGUCUUUCCUCCCAAGCUUCCAUUAUAACCAUGGUCUGGAAUUUGUUAUCGAACACCACUCCCCAGGCUUCAGAUCACUGCCUGGGACACUGCUAUGGUUGGAGCUGGAUAAAUCUUCUGUCCCAUCCUCUUUGUUUAAUCUGGGAUUCUGAAAUAUAUUUACGCAUCAGAAAAGUUCUUUUGCUAGGUGGAUUGCAAUCCCAGCUUCUGAGUCUGGUCUAGAAUAGUAAGUAUUAGAUUUUAACUUUACAUUAAGUUACACUGAGUACAUUACUUUUGCAUUAAAUCCCUGUGAGUGUUGUGUAAAGAGACUGUAGGUUCUACAUCAUUAUAGUGCCAUUUCUGGGUAUUCUAGGUCUGGGUCCUUCCCAUCCACCUUCAGGGACCAUGUUGUUGUGCCAAAUUUAGGAACCACAUUACAAGGCUAGGCUGGUGAAGUGAUCACUUGUGAGUAUCCCUUGUUCUCU